CUUGCAAGUCGAACGGGGUGAGGAGCUUGCUCCUCAUCUAGUGGCGAACGGGUGAGUAAUACAUCGAAACGUACCGGGUAGGGGGGGAUAACUUACCGAAAGGUAGGCUAAUACCGCAUACGAUCCACGGAUGAAAGCAGGGGACCUUCGGGCCUUGUGCUAUACGAGCGGCCGAUGUCUGAUUAGCUAGUUGGGGGGGUAAAGGCUCACCAAGGCAACGAUCAGUAGCGGGUCUGAAAGGAUGAUCCGCCACACUGGGACUGAAACACGGCCCAAACUCCUACGGGAGGCAGCAGGGGGGAAUUUUGGACAAUGGGCGCAAGCCUGAUCCAGCCAUGCCGCGUGUCUGAAAAAGGCCUUCGGGUUGUAAAGGACUUUUGUCAGGGAGCAAAUCCUGAUGGCUAAUAUCCAUCGGGGAUGAGAGUACCUGAAAAAUAAGCACCGGCUAACUACGUG
rnacentral:rRNA from 1 species